UCUUACAAUCUCAUCACCACCCCAGAUGGCAGUGGCGGACCAAGUCUCCUACGACUCUCUCCGUCAUUCACUAUAAAGUCUAACAAGUUUUACUCUUUAUUUUAUUUAUUUAUUUAUUUCCCAAUUCGCUUUUGCUUUCAAACACCAUGGGUAGUAAUGGUAAUGGCAGGCACCAUAGAUGGAAAAUCUCCUUCUAUCAUCGUUCUAAUUCAGCUCCCAAAACACCUCCUAAAGAGUUCCUCUGUCCUAUUUCCGGGUUGUUAAUGUUUGACCCGGUUGUAGUUUCUUCGGGUCAAACGUUCGAGAGUGUUUCUGUCCAGGUCUGCCGGGAUCUUGGGUUCACACCCCAUUUUGAAGACGGUUCUACGCCGGACUUCACUGCUGUCAUUCCCAAUUUAGCUAUGAAAACAACCAUUCUCAAUUGGUGCGAUAGUACCGGCACCCAACACCCUCCCGUACCUGACUAUAAUUCCAUACAGAACAUUGUCCACUCGAAAAUGAAGUCGUCGGAUAGACCGGAGUCAUCGUCAUCGAAAUUGGCUCCGGUAAUAAGAUUUUCGGAGAGGGAGUUGUUGAAAGGCGUCACGGAGAAUCCGCCUGUGAUAUUAUCUCACGCGGCGACCGAGUUGAAUCACCGAGUCAACCAUUUUUACUCGAGCUCAUCGGAAGAAUCGGUGGUGGUAGCCCCGUCGAGUCCACUCACUCCGUUACCUCUCGCGACACGGCCAGCUUGCUACUCUUACUCCACGUCAUCGUCUUCCUCAGCCGAAAUCAUAGAUGCCGAAGCGCUGGCGCAACAAAACCCGACAACAUCAUCGCCCGAAGAAGAAGAACUCCUGCGGAAGAUGAGAAGCAACGACAUCGUUGCGCAAGAGGAAGGCGUGAUCACGUUACGGAAGCUGACAAGAGCUAAGGAAGAUACCAGAGUUAGUUUGUGCUCGCCAGGUUUGCUCUCGGUGCUGAAGCCGUUGAUCGCUUCGAGGUAUUCGGUUGUUCAAACAAACGCUGUUGCUUCCCUCGUGAAUCUUUCUCUCGAGAAGCCAAAUAAAGUUCUCAUCGUACGGUCAGGAAUUGUUCCCUUGUUGAUUGAUGUGUUAAAAUCAGGAUCUGAUGAAUCGCAGGAGCACGCGGCAGGUGCGUUGUUUAGUUUAGCUUUGGACGAUGGGAACAAGGUAGCUAUUGGUGCGUUAGGCGCGUUGCAGCCGUUAAUGCACACGCUUCGCGCUCGGAGUGAGCGGACUCGGGACGACUCGGCACUGGCGUUGUAUCAUUUAACUUUGAUUCAAAGCAACCGGGUCAAACUGGUCAAGCUCAACGCAGUGCCACCAUUGGUGACUAUGUUGAGGUCAAAUGACUCGGUGAGUCGAAUCUUGUUGAUAUUAUGCAACUUGGCUGCAUGUAUUGAGGGUAGGUCGGCGAUAUUGGACGCGAGUGGUGUGUCGAUUUUGGUGAGUAUGCUGAGAGAGAGUGAGUUGCACUCGGAGGGGACUCGGGAGAAGUGCGUGGCGGCGCUGUUUGCAUUGGCUCAUGGAAGCAUGAGAUUUAAAGGGUUGGCUAAAGAAGCUAGAGCAGUAGAGGUGUUGAGAGAGGUUGAAGAAAGAGGAAGCCAGAGUGCAAGAGAGAAAGCCAAGAAGAUUUUGCAGAUGUUGAAGGUGAGGGAGAAAGAGGAGGUGCGUUGAAAUCGGGUAGGAUGAGUCAAGGUCGGUUCCGAGUUAGAGACUCAACUAAUUGUUAAUCCUUUUUGUUGGAAAUAGGUUGUAGCCGCCAAAACGGAACACCUUUUUUCCUCGCAUCCUUUUAUUAUCGCCACACAGAUUUUUCAUCUCACCAUCGACGAUCCAGAAUCGAAGCUUAAAUAAUAGCAUGCAGAAAACCCUCAAAAGAAAGCGCCAACAAUCCUCCUCGGUGGAAGGUGAAGCCCAGCCGAAGCAAGAACCAUUCCCGACCCACACCCGACCCACCCC